GGACUACCGGGGUAUCUAAUCCUGUUUGCUCCCCACGCUUUCGCGCCUCAGCGUCAGUAAAGGACCAGGUCGCCGCCUUCGCCACCGGUGUUCUUCCCAAUAUCUACGAAUUUCACCUCUACACUGGGAAUUCCACGACCCUCUUCCCCACUCUAGAAUGCCCGUCUCGAACGCAGCCCCAAGGUUGAGCCCUGGAAUUUCACGCCCGACAAAGCACUCCGCCUACGCGCCCUUUACGCCCAGUCAUUCCGAGCAACGCUAGCCCCCUUCGUAUUACCGCGGCUGCUGGCAC
rnacentral:rRNA from 1 species